AUUGAACGCUGGCGGCAUGCUUUACACAUGCAAGUCGAACGGUAACAGGCCGCAAGGUGCUGACGAGUGGCGAACGGGGGAGUAAUGCAUCGGAACGUGCCCAGUCGUGGGGGAUAACGCGGCGAAAGCUGCGCUAAUACCGCAUACGAUCUAUGGAGGAAAGCGGGGGACCGUAAGGCCUCGCGCGAUUGGAGCGGCCGAUGUCAGAUCAGGUAGUUGGUGGGGUAAAGGCUCACCAAGACAACGAUCUGUAGCUGGUCUGAGAGGACGACCAGCCACACUGGGACUGAGACACGGCCCAGACUCCUACGGGAGGCAGCAGUGGGGAAUUUUGGACAAUGGGCGCAAGCCUGAUCCAGCAAUGCCGCGUGCAGGAAGAAGGCCUUCGGGUUGUAAACUGCUUUUGUACGGAACGAAACGGCUCUCACUAAUACUGGGGGCUAAUGACGGUACCGUAAGAAUAAGCACCGGCUAACUACGUGCCAGCCGCCGCGGUAACAC
rnacentral:rRNA from 1 species